GCAAGUUGAACGUGAAAUACACUUCGGUGUAUGGAAAGUAGCGCACGGGUGAGUAACACGUGGGAAUUUACACUUCAGUACGGAACAACAGUUGGAAACGACUGCUAAUACCGUAUAAUGACUCCGGUCCAAAGAUUUAUCGCUGAAGGAUAAGCCCGCGUCUGAUUAGCUAGUUGGUAGGGUAAAGGCCUACCAAGGCGACGAUCAGUAGCUGGUCUUAGAGGAUGACC
rnacentral:rRNA from 1 species